AGGGCGCAGGGCGAAUGCCUUGGCACUGGGAGCCGAUGAAAGACGUGAUAAGCUGCGAUAAGCUUCGGGGAGCUGCAAAUAAGCAUUGAUCCGGAGAUUUCUGAAUGAGGAAACUCACCUGGGUUCAUACUCAGGUACGUUAUACUGAACUUCAAAAUAGGUAUAUCGAGGGAACCGCCUGAACUGAAACAUCUAAGUAGGGCGAGGAAGAGACAUCAAACGAGAUUCCGUAAGUAGUGGCGAGCGAACGCGGAAGAGGGCAAACCGAGAGUAGAAAUACUUUCGGGGUACGGACUGCUUUUAAGACUUAAUCUGUUAACCGAACGGCAUGGGAAGGCCGGUCAGAGAGUGUGAGAACCACGUAGGUGAAAACGGAAAGAGCUGCGCAGAUUCCAGAGUACGGCCAGACACGUGAAACCUGGUCGGAAGAUGGGGGGACCACCCUCCAACCCUAAAUACUACCCAGUGACCGAUAGCGUAUAGUACUGUGAAGGAAAGGUGAAAAGCACCCCGGGAGGGGAGUGAAAAAGAACCUGAAACCCUGUGCCUACAAGCACCUAGAGCGCGUCAAAGCGUGAUAGGGUACUUUUUGUAGAACGGUCCGGCGAGCGAUUGUAUGCAGCAAGGUUAAGGACUUAAGGUCUGGAGCCGAAGCGAAAGCGAGUUUGAAAAGGGCGUUAAGUUGCAUAUAAUGGGCCCGAAACCGGGUGACCUACCCAUGGUCAGGUUGAAGUGGAAGUAAAAUUCCAUGGAGGACCGAACCGACCUCCGUUGAAAAGGCGGCGGAUGAACUGUGGGUAGCGGAGAAAUUCCAAUCGAACCCGGAGAUAGCUGGUUCUCCCCGAAAUAGUUUUAGGACUAGCCUCAAGUUAGAUACCUGGAGGUAAAGCACUGAAUAGCCUAGCGGCCGAGAGGUUAGCGAAGCUUAUCAAACUCAGAAUGCCAGAGUAUUGAUGCUUGGGAGUCAGACAGUGUCAGAUAAAUGUCAUUGUCAAAAGGGAAACAGCCCAGAUCUACAGCUAAGGUCCCAAAGUCAGGUUAAGUGGAAAACGAUGUGAAGAUACGCAGACAACCAGGAUGUUGGCUCAGAAGCAGCCACUCAUUCAAAGAGUGCGUAAUAGCUCACUGGUCGAGCGUCUUUGCGCGGAGAAUUUAACGGGGCUAAACCUGACACCGAAGCUUAGGCAAUACAGCAAUGUAUUGGGUAGGGGAGCGUUGUAUACGCGGAGAAACAGUAGCGCAAGCGGCUGUGGAGUGUAUAGAAGUGAGAAUGCCGGAAUGAGUAGCGCGAAUGCAGUGAGAAUCUGCAUGGCCGAAAGCCUCAGGUUUCUGGAGGAAGGUUCGUCCGCUCCAGGUUAGUCGGGAGCUAAGGUGAGGCCUAACGGCGUAGCCGAUGCACAGACGGUAGAGAUUCCGUCACCACCAAAAGAGUUAAACACAGGGACACAUAUGAAGUCUCGGAGCCGGGUGUUGGUUCCGGUAGCGAUCGAGGGAAGUUAGUACCGAAGUCCGGGAUGGAAGAUGGCGAGAAAAGCUGUGUGUAUUUCUGCGGUGCCCGUACCGCAAACCGACACAGGUAGGUAGGAAGAAGAUUCUAAGGCCAACGGGAGAAGGGUUGUUAAGGAACUCGGCAAGUUGACCCCGUAACUUCGGAAUAAGGGGUGCUCACGAGAGUGAGCCGCAGAGAAUAGGCCCAGGCAACUGUUUACCAAAAACACAGGUUUGUGCUAAAUCGAAAGAUGACGUAUACGAGCUGACGCCUGCCCGGUGCUGGAAGGUUAAGAGGAGAUGUGCAAGCAUUGAAUCGAAGCCCCAGUGAACGGCGGCCGUAACUAUAACGGUCCUAAGGUAGCGAAAUUCCUUGUCAGGUAAGUUCUGACCCGCACGAAAGGCGUAAUGAUUUGGGCACUGUCUCAACAGCCCGCCCGGCGAAAUUGUAGUACCGGUGAAGAUGCCGGUUACCCGCGACAAGACGGAAAGACCCCAUGGAGCUUUACUGUAGCCUAAUAUUGGGUUUCGAUGUUGCAUGCACAGGAUAGAUGGGACACAGGGAAACAAUCGCUUUGGCGGUUGCGGAGUGGCCGUUGGGAUACCAUCCUUGCGAUAUUGGAAUUCUAACCUGCGGCUCUGAAUCGAGUCGGGGGACAUUGUUAGGUGGGCAGUUUGACUGGGGCGGUCGCCUCCUAAAGAGUAACGGAGGCGUUCAAAGGUUCGCUCAGCUUGAACGGAAAUCAAGCAAAAGAGUGCAAACGCAGAAGCGAGCCUAACUGCGAGACUGACGGGUCGAGCAGUAACGAAAGUUGGAGUUAGUGAUCCGGUGGUAUGUGAGUGGAAAUGCCAUCGCUCAACGGAUAAAAGUUACCCUGGGGAUAACAGGCUGAUCUCCCCCAAGAGUCCACAUCGACGGGGAGGUUUGGCACCUCGAUGUCGGCUCAUCGCAUCCUGGGGCUGUAUUCGGUCCCAAGGGUUUGGCUGUUCGCCAAUUAAAGCGGUACGCGAGCUGGGUUCAGAACGUCGUGAGACAGUUCGGUCCCUAUCUGUCGUGGGCGCAGGAUAUUUGAUGGGAGCUGUCCCUAGUACGAGAGGACCGGGACGGACGUACCUCUGGCGCACCAGUUGUUCCGCCAGGAGCAUAGCUGGGCAACUACGUACGGAUCGGAUAAACGCUGAAAGCAUCUAAGCGUGAAGCCGACCCAAAGAUAAGAUAUCCCAUUGU
rnacentral:rRNA from 1 species